GGGGUUGUGGCUUAGAGGUAGAGCGCUUGCCUAGCAUGUGUGAGGCACUGGGUUUGAUCCUCAGCACCCUA
rnacentral:tRNA from 1 species